rnacentral:misc_RNA from 1 species
GUGCACCGACGAAACAAAAAGGAAAAGAGAGAGACCGCUCCUCCACGCGUAUCCGAGCGUGUGCUUGCAUUCGUUCGGGUUCGUGCAUGCACGCCGCUUUGGUCACCGCAGAGACAACCAAACGUAGAGAAGCGAACGGUCCGUCAGUUACACACACACACACACACACGAUCUCUCACGCCCUCUUUUUGUUUUUGUGUUCACUCUCAUUUGGAGAGGUCUUCGCAACACGUGGCGCGCAGCGGCAACAGCACACAAGUGGUACCCUCUCGGCAGGUGUACGUGUGGGCGGUUUCUUUUUUUUAUAUAUGGCGGUGCUACCCCCUCUUCUCUUGUCUUCUCUUUUUCCCUUUGCGCGUGCCGUGCCCAUACACUGAGGCACCCGCAGGAGCUGGUGGAGGAAGAUAGGCUUGCUGGCCACGACAGCGCUCCGUCACUCGACCGUCUGUCCCUCGUGAAACUGCCAGCCGUGGCGCGCGUGUGUGCGGUGGUCCGGUGGAGGAAGCGGGUAAAGGUGGUACCGCAGCCUUCUCUUUUGCUGAGUAGAUAGCAGCUCAAGCGCAAAACUCUCUUUCCACGGGAGCGACUGUGCGUCGGUGUAGACGCCAUUGAACAAGGCACACAGGGUCGAAACAACAGCACGUAGCCAUGCACUUCUCUCAAUACCCUCUCCGGCUGACGGACCUGGAGCGGCAGAAGCUGCAGCUCAUCGUGGCGGCACUGAAAGUGAGUGAGUACACGGACGAUGUUGAUGACUUCAUGCGCCCUUAUGGGAAGGAGGGACGCAUGGAGGCGGCUAUGCGCGAGUUCAUCGACAUCGUUGUCGGACUUGCGAUUGCCUCGGAUGCCAUUCCACGUUCCGUGAAGAAUUCUUUUCUCGCAGGGGAGGUUAAGGUGGCCACGGUGGUGCCGCUGCUGGAAGACCUCUUUGAGAUUAUGCGUCGCCACAAGCGCCUGAACCCCUUCAGCCACCGCGGCGAGUUUGGCAAGCUAAUGAUGAUGCUGCAGGAUGUGCAGAAGCGGUCUAUUCAGCGCGCACUUGAAAUCCAAAGCACGCUCGUCAUACCGGUGCGCACCGUGGAGGCGGCCCUCUCUAGUAUCCACUGCGAGACCCUCGCUGACGACGAGGCCGUGCGCACUGAUUAUCUGAAAAGGACGGGGACUGAGAAGCAGGCUGGCAUGCAGAGCCUCAUCGAACGCUACAGCAAAGGCGAUGGGCACAAGAAGGAGAUCAUCGCGCACUGCCUGCGCAGCAUUGACGAUGUGUAUUCGUUCAUUCAGUCCAACACGCGGCCGCUUCGUACCUUGCGGCGCUGGCUGAGCCGCGACUUUGAGCCUCUUCCUUCAGACAACGCCUACAGCAUCUCCAUUCGCCACGGCCGCAGCGGCGCCUGCUUCACGCACAGCCACGCGACGCACUGCCAGUACGUCACUGAGUCGCUGCUGCUGUGGGAAAACGUGCAAAAGAACAUUUUGAAUCUGUGGGAGGCCGCCGAGGACGACAUGCUCGUGGAGGGGCAGGGUCAAUACGUCGUGGCAAAUACCGGGCAGGGGUUUCACCGCAUGUGCUCGGCACCGAGGAGCUACGGGGUCAUGUCUCGCCUCGUGCGCGACACGGAGCAGCGCAUGGGCGGAUGGGUUGGUAUAAAGGUGAUUCACCUGGGCGAUCGCGACGUGCCGAACCCGCUGGUGUUCAUCGAUAAGUACACCGUCAUCCCUCGGUUGGUAAAACCGGUUGUGCAGACGCUGCAUGCGCUGCGCUACGUCUUCCACGAGGAGGACGAGGAAGAGGAAGGGCAGCCGCAGGUGGUGCACGAGUACGACAACUACCCCGGCCUGCGAAACCUGCUGCGCUCCAAGUAUCAUAGCUACGGCGAGUUGAUGAUGAUGAUCCUGAGCGACUUCUUCAAGCAUGCCUUCGACGGCUCUGGCGACGACGGCGGCAGCUGCAUCGACGGAAGGCUUACAUCCGCGUGGAAUUGGUGCCAUCAACUGCACAAGAAGAAGUACUACGACGCAUUCGUCUUGACAGGCUUUGCGGGGUUCGAUUGAACCCCCUUACCCCUCGUUUUGCGUGAUGGGCGUGUGCUGCAACGCCGACGACCAAGUCACAGUAGCUGUCCCCGUGUGUGCGCUUUCUGAAACGUUCGCGUGCAUCUCGCUCGCUGUUCUCACUUGCUCCUUGUCUCCAGUUCCUACCUCCCACUGAUGAACUCGAGGUUGUGCGCUCUCUGUCGGGCUUGUUGCAUGCUCUUAUCUCUUUCCAUCUGGCGCGUGUGUCUGGGCUUGUGCGCUUGUGCUUUUUUCUCUCCGUACAAUGGGCCCCCGUCCCCGCCUCUUCCGUUUCGCUGUUGCCUCCAUCGACUGGCACGCUGAACGAAAGGGGAAGCAGUACUCCAUAGCGACCAGCAACAGCAGUAAC